AAUAAUAAUUAUUAUUUAUUAAUAAUUAAUUAAUAAUUCUUAUUCUUAAUAAUUAGAUAAUGGAUAUUAUUAUUAAUUUAUUAUUUAUAAUUAAUUAAUAAUAAUUAUUAUUAUUUAUUAAUAAAUAUUAAUAUUAAUUAUUAUUAAUAAUUAGAUAAUCAAUAUUAUUAUUAAUUUAUUAUUUAUAAUUAAUUAAUAAGAAUAAUUAAUAAUUAUUAUUAUUUAUUAAUAAUUAAUAAUAAUUAUUAUUAUUAUUAAUUAGAUCAUCCAUAUUAUUAAUUUAUUAUUUAUAAUUAAUUAAUAAUAAUAAUAAUUAUUUAUAAUUAAUUAUUAAUAAUUAAUUUCUUAUUUAUUUGUAAGUAAUAUUUUUAUUACUAUUAAUUACAUAAUAUAAUUUUAAUUUCAAAUUAUAAUUCUUAUUCCUCUUGUUCCAAUCUAACCAUCCAAACAUUAUUUAUCUUAUUCCUAGGAACAACUCAAUUUUCAUCCAAACGCAAAAUUGGUCUAGUUCCUGCUUAUACCUGAACUUAUACCUAUCCCUAGAACUAGCAGUUCUUACUUAUAUCCGAACCAAACGCAGCCUAAUAAGAGACUACAAAUCCAAUUCACCCAGGGUCUAUAGUAGAUCCAUGGUCCACAGAAGGAGCACCCAACAAACCCAAUAUCUAUAUUUCUUUCACUUAAUCCAUGAUACACCGGGUGCACCAAAUAUUCAAAACGGAUAUGUGUCCAUAAAUAAAGAACCCUC
rnacentral:lncRNA from 1 species